UCCAACUUUCAUAUUAUUUCUUUGUUUUAUUGCUCUGAUGAUAAUUUCAGUUGAACAGGAAAUCCUGCUCUUAGGGGAAGUUCUGGACAGGAAAUCAGUUCUAAUUAACAUAAUUUGAUCUUUGUUCCUAUAAGUUCCAUUUUCACCGAUUGACUGAUAACUACACUUACGUACAGAUAAUUAUAUUAUCUUUAUUUAUGCUUCACAAUAUCAGUAAUUUCAGCUUGUAUAACAUUCUACAUUCUGUAACAGGAUAUUCUAAAAGAGGAAGCCAUAAGACAAUCCGGCAAUCCGACAACUAAAAGUGUCGUCGAAAUGGAAAACCAUGUUUUUGCUAAAGCCAGAACUAAGGAAGAAUAUUUAGGUUAUGUUGCAAGAUUAAUUAUUCAUGCACGAGAAAUGAGUAAGUGAAUGUAUAUUAAAAUAUUUUGGAAUUUAAAUUUUCUACAUAACAAUAAAACAAUCAUUGAUUACUUAUAAAUAACCUAUCAUAUUAUAAAUAACAUGAUUUAUUGCAUAUAAA